rnacentral:tRNA from 1 species
AGUAAAGUCAGCUAAUAAAGCUAUCGGGCCCAUGCCCCGAAAAUGCCCACAGGCCUCUACUA